rnacentral:rRNA from 1 species
AGUGAACGCUGGCGGUAGGCCUAACACAUGCAAGUCGAACGGCAGCACAGUAAGAGCUUGCUCUUACGGGUGGCGAGUGGCGGACGGGUGAGGAAUACAGCGGAAUCUACUUUUUCGUGGGGGAUAACGUAGGGAAACUUACGCUAAUACCGCAUACGACCUACGGGUGAAAGCAGGGGAUCUUCGGACCUUGCGCGAUUGAAUGAGCCGAUGUCGGAUUAGCUAGUUGGCGGGGUAAGGGCCCACCAAGGCGACGAUCCGUAGCUGGUCUGAGAGGAUGAUCAGCCACACUGGAACUGAGACACGGUCCAGACUCCUACGGGAGGCAGCAGUGGGGAAUAUUGGACAAUGGGCGCAAGCCUGAUCCAGCCAUACCGCGUGGGUGAAGAAGGCCUUCGGGUUGUAAAGCCCUUUUGUUGGGAAAGAAAAGCAGCAGGUUAAUACCCCGCUGUUCUGACGGUACCCAAAGAAUAAGCACCGGCUAACUUCGUG